ACGGCCGUGCACUGGCCGCAGGGAAGAGCACCGGCAAUAGAUUCAUCAAGGGCACGCUCCAGCCGCUGCCGUCUCAUGGCCUUUGUUCUCUACGACCCUUGGGUGAGCGAGCAGACAACAAGGGCCAGGCCACUGCCACUGCUAGUGGGGAUACGCCACUGUUCGAGAUGCCCGGAGGCGCGUAGCCAUUCAGGGUCACGGAGGAGAUGGAUGAGCCCUCUACAUACGGCAUGAUACUCAUGCUGGAUGGAGAUUCAGGUUACUGGGAGGGAUGAGUGUGCAUUUUUAAGAUAAAUGGUACCAAGCAUUAGAUGAUUUCCCACCAGAUGUUUCUUAAAGUGGAGGCGGUGGUAUCCUGUAUUAGGUUUCAUAACAUUCUGUUUCCGAACAAAUUGCCAUUUCUGAAAUUGACAAGAUGGUGGUGGGUGUAAGACACCGCUCUCUCUCUCUCCUCACUAAGACACCUCUCUCUAUAUAUUUUUCUCUAUGUAAUAACUAUUCCAUUUCAUCAGUUCUGCCUCACAGACUUUUAGAUGUUUGAUGCAUCAAAGGGCACCUACUUUUAGAAUGGUAUCCGAGGGAAUUGGACUGCUGUAUCUUUGCAAAGAAAAUUUACUAAUGAGUUAACAAUUUCUUUCAGCUAGAAAAAAAGAAUUGCGAUUUCAUGGCCUGAGAAAACAGAGUGAUGUGUUUAAGUGAUCUUACGUCGCUGCCAUGUAGCUGCAGCUCAUAAUGCUAGACAAUGAGGCUCCUGCUAUUUGACUUAUCAUACAUUCUCUAAUUGUGGCUGCAAUAGGUUGGGGAGCCUGUUGAGUCUUUGUCUGUGUAUAAAUUCUUUUUUGAAUGAUAAAUUUAUAAAUUUAUAUAUUAUAGAUACCCUAAACCCUAACAGCAAAUUCUUAUUGCUUGAUGACACAAGUUGACACCAGUACUUUUGGGAUUCAUAACAGCAAAAACUUUUAUUAGUUUGGUAUAUAUGACAAGCUAACGAAUACACAAAGCCGAUGUCCUUCUAUGUGUUUCCUGACAAUGUCUCAUAAAAAAUGACUCCUCGCUUUUAUUUCAGAUAGGCCUCAUUCAGGAUAUGGUGGUACCACUAAUGGUCAAGACAACACUGAAAGGCAAGACGCGGCCUUGAUACAACGUUGUGGGAAAGGUUUGACCUCUGAGGAUGUCAAAUUCAGGCAAUCUGUAAACAUUUAAUUGGUUGAUGGCUUAUGAUUGAGCUGAUCAUGGGUAAAUAGAGAUGCUGGGUUCUUCCCAUGUAUGCAUCCUGGUAGCUAAAUCUGCACACAUUUUUACUUGAUUGAAAUCCUUGAAAUCUCAUGCAUAUAUGGCUAUAUGCAGUCUUGAAUCAUAACAUCAUGUGCUCAUUAAUCUUCAAACCAUUAGGGGUUGUCCUGCAGUGUGGACUGCAUUGAAGAGCUAGGUGCAAUUUUAGUCUUUAUUCUCAUAAAUUGUGUUUCUAUGGAUUGACGCAUAUAAAUGUUAAUUAUAUUGGGGUUAGAGAGAAGAAUCAGAGUUAAAGAAAUAAAUAAAUAAGUUUUUCCCUACCUUCUCUGAUGGAUUUUGUCUUAGUCCUUUUCCAUUGAUAAUUCGUCGAGAAUUUUUAUAAUUUG